UUCCGGCGGAAACAAAAUCCCAGACCUCUGGACAACCCAGUGUCUGUUGUGUCAAAGUCACCAAAAAUAUAGAAGAAUUUUAACGUAUUAGGUCACCUAAAUUAAAGAUAACCACAAACAAAGGUCACCUAAAAAGAUAACUAUAAACAACUGUUAAUAAUAAGUAAGGUUAGUGACCUAAAAAAUGAAGCAAGCAGCUGAUAAAAUAAACAACAGUAGUGUAAAAUUCAAGUGUGUAUAUAUAUGUUAAAAUUUUAAGAAACACAGGCGGCGAACAAAUAAGAGAAACAGCAGCAAAAAAGAAAAUUCAUAUACACACAAAUUAAAAGAACAGAGAAAAUGAAAAUAAAAAGAAAACAAUAAGAGAAACAAUGAAAGUGAGCAGGGGAAUAUUCCGGAAGUACCGAGUUGGUCGGAAUUGAGGGGGGGAAAUACUGUCCAAAAGGAGCCAGCCGAAAAAAUUUCCGGAACAGUGCUCACUCGCGCGGCGCGUGGGCGUCGGUGGCGGCGCGUGGGCGGUUGUCGGCGGCGCGUGAGGCAGCUUCCGGUGACGAAACUCGCAGGGGUUGUGCGCCUGACAGUGUAUGUCUUGGUGGUGUAGGAGGUGUCGAAGAAAGACCACCGUGAGAGACCACUGUUGACGGUUCGGAGGAGAGAGAGAGGGGGUACUUACCUGUAGCUACCGGCGGCUCGUCG
rnacentral:lncRNA from 1 species